rnacentral:lncRNA from 1 species
CAAAAAACAGCAGAAGCUGGCUGUCCACGAGGAAGCACCCUGAGUCCUGGAAAGUAAGGCUACCCAAGGCAACUGGCAAGAAGUCACAGAUUUGCUAAGUUAUUUCUGAUUAAACCUAAACCAACUCUUCAGCCGCGCCGUCUCAGGGACCCCAAGCCCCGCUCUGGUGGACGCCUGGAGCCGCCGCCUCCCUAGAGUCCACACCCCAUCUUGACUCAAGCCUGCACUGGGUGGGUAUCACAGCG